rnacentral:ncRNA from 1 species
GCUCAGGCGGGGGGCACCGACGCGCGGCCCACAUCCUUGGGCGCCUGGACCGCGCUGAGCCACUGGCGAGACCGACCCGCCGCUGC